rnacentral:tRNA from 1 species
UGCUUGGGUAGCUCAGUUGGUAGAGCGCUUGUCCGCGGAAGGCAAAGGUCCCGAGUUCGAGUCUCGGUCCGGCAC